rfam:Ipomoea nil DNA, scaffold: scaffold2742, cultivar: Tokyo-kokei standard.
GGAUGCGAUCAUACCAGCACUAAUGCACCGGAUCCCAUCAGAACUCCGAAGUCAAGCGUGGUUGGGCGAGAGUAGUACUAGGAUUUGUGACCCCUUGGGAAGUCCUCGUGUUGCAUCCC